GUGAGACCUGGGGACAGGGAAGAGUGCCACUAUGCUUACGCUCAUGCUGUCUGCUAUGCUGAGCACCUCCCUCCCCAGUUGUGACAACCAACAAUGAUUCCAGAUAUUACCAAACGUCCUGUGGAAGACACAAUUACUCUUGCUCUGCACGGUUGAAGUUUUACCUUUAAAGUGUCAUUUGGACAACUGCCUAAUGACUAUUAGAACAUCGGCAAUUUGGUUGCAAAAUUAGGAGCAAUAGUAACUCACUGUGACAUUUGU